GAUGAACGCUGGCGGCGUGCCUAAUACAUGCAAGUCGAGCGAACGGACGAGAAGCUUGCUUCUCUGAUGUUAGCGGCGGACGGGUGAGUAACACGUGGAUAACCUACCUAUAAGACUGGGAUAACUUCGGGAAACCGGAGCUAAUACCGGAUAAUAUUUUGAACCGCAUGGUUCAAAAGUGAAAGACGGUCUUGCUGUCACUUAUAGAUGGAUCCGCGCUGCAUUAGCUAGUUGGUAAGGUAACGGCUUACCAAGGCAACGAUGCAUAGCCGACCUGAGAGGGGGAUGGGCCCAAAUGGAACGGAAACAGGGCCCAACCACCAAGGGAGGGAAGGAGUGGGGAAUCUUCCGCAAGGGGGGAAAGCGUGACGGAGCAACGCCGGGGGAGGGAGGAAGGGUUUGGGGUGGUAAAAAUUUGUUAUGGGGAAAAAAAAAAGGUGAAAGAAACUGUGCACAUUUUGAGGGAACUAAAAAAAAAGACCAGGGGAAACAAGGG
rnacentral:rRNA from 1 species